rnacentral:rRNA from 1 species
GAGACUCUGUGCGCGUGCAUAUCAAUAAGCGGAGGAAAAGAAACUAACAAGGAUUCCCUUAGUAACGGCGAGUGAAGCGGGAAGAGCUCAAAUUUGAAAUCUUCAAGGUUCUACCUUGACGAAUUGUAGUUUAUAGAAGUGUUUUCUGUUAGUAGAGUGGCAAAAGUUCUUUGGAAUAGGACAUCAUAGAGGGUGAGAAUCCCGUAUUUGGUCAUUCUUUCUAGCUUUGUGAUACGCUUUCAACGAGUCGGAUUGUUUGGGAAUGCAGUCCAAAAUGGGUGGUAAAUUUCAUCUAAAGCUAAAUAUUGGCGAGAGACCGAUAGCGAACAAGUACCGUGAGGGAAAGAUGAAAAGAACUUUGAAAAGAGAGUUAAACAGUACGUGAAAUUGUCAAAAGGGAAGCGUUUGACACCAGUGUUGUUUUUUCCGAAAAUCAAUUACGAAUGUUUUGUUUUUAAGAAGUUAUGACUUCAUCGGCUUGCUUCUCUCUUUACGAAACUUUCUUAAUGCACUUUUUCGGUUAACAAGUCAACAUCAAUUUCUUUUGUUGUAAAAGGGUAUGAGGAAGGUGGCUUUCUUUUCGGAGAAAGUGUUUAUAGCCUUGUACCUCUGCAAUCGGAGAGAUUGAGGUCCGCAGCGUAGAUCCUUCGGGGUUAGAUACAUUUGUGCUAAGUUAUAGCUUUUCAUAGACAACUUGUUGACUAUGUUAAGUCUUGUAGCUUACUCGCUUAUGCUAUUUUACCUACGCUUAGGAUGUUGACGAUCAGCUGAGCGCG